GGCAGAGACAAACUUGGACAGCAGCCAGGUGUCCAGCACCACCUCCCUCCACCUCGAGGUCCUUGCCUCAGCGCCUGCUUCGCGGGACAGCUGCACAUCCCACGCAGCUGAGCACCAUGACUGCUCUCCCUUCACAGAGGUGGGGACACUGAGGCAUGAAGACAUUUAGUCGCUGGCCCAAGGCCGCCCUCCUGUUGAGCAAUGGAAGCAGAUUCGAGCUUGCCCUCUGCUGCUUCAGAGGCCCCGUUAGUGACCACAGAGCACACUCCUGUGGUGGAGCCAGACUCAGGCCCCUGGUUUGUUUCUGCUCCCUUCUUUCCAACAUUCUGUUCUGCUGUCUGUCCUACCGCCCCCCACACUGUUCCUGGAGCCCCUGUUUCCAUGUCCUCCUCUCUCUCAGUUUCCUCCCUUGUGUGGUGGAAGCACAUCCUCAAGUAACAUCCUCAGAAAGGUAGAUCAGAUGAAACUCGAGUCCCUAUGUAGUAGAAACAGCCACAAAUCCCUCCUCUCCUGGCGUCCUUGCCCCUCUGCAAUGUGACUUUGUCCCUUCACAGAAAGAGAUGGAGCCCCUCCCUUCACCCUGCACUCUGGGCUAGCCUGGGGAUUCACUAGUCUGAUGGGCUGUCACUAAGUUGCGGGCUGCAGAGCUUGAACAACGCUCAUGUGUAGGGCCGAGAUCGUUCUCUUGCUGUUCUGGAGAGUGUCUGCUGUGGGGGAGGUGUGGCCUUCCUGUAGGACUUGAGGUCACGGGGAGGGAGGCUUCUGUCAUCCCAGCUGGUCCCAGCUGCCUGAAGGUGGGUUGACAAGCAGAGUGAGACCCGCGGAGAACCACCCCCCGGGGCUGGCCGGGCCACCAAGCUCCGGGCUAAUUGUGCUUGCUUUAGCCACUAAGUUCUGGAGUGGCCUGUCACGUGGGACACAUGAUGAGGCCCCUCACAGGCCUGAAGGCAUCUUGCUCUGUCCUCACACUUGUUGGAUGUCGGGCUGGGAGAGAAUCAGCUCAGUGGGAAUUCUCCCACAGGAGCUCGAGGGGGCCUCGCACCACAGCUGCUGGUCCGAAUUCCAGCAACCACGUUCUGGAUUUCUAACCCAGCUCGCUUGUCCUUUAAGUGACCCCUCCUCUUUCCUCAGAGCGUCCUGUUUUGUUGUAGGGAUGAAGUGGGUUUUGGGGGAGGAGCUUUUUCUUCCUGUGUUUUCUCUGUUCUCUUUGUGGUUCUUUUUUGUCUUCGGUCUUAGGAUUUCCCAUCAGACACUAUCCUCAGUGUUCGGCUUUUCUGCUCCUGUGUGGAAGGGAGGCAGGAGAGAGCCAGGGUCUCUCCCCGCGAGGACCCGGAGCUCUUGAGGGCCAGGCCCCUGGAAGGGCGGCCUCCCGCCUCAGGCAGACUGCAGGGCUGCGGUCUGGAUGGGAUGGCUGGGGGAGUCGGCCUGGGCAGUCCCCGUGUCACCCGCUGUCCCUCACAAGUGUUGGACGGUCACCCCAAGCCACGCCUUAGCCAGCCCCGUGUUUCUGUCCCUGCUUCGUCUGCACCUGGGCUGCGCUGCUCAGUCCACCCCUACUUCCUGUCUUAAGCAGUUUGUUGAAAUCCCUUGUCCGCAGGUGGUCUCACUCCUGUUGCCUUUGUGGGAUGGAUAUACUGCGGGGGCCGCUGGUGGGGAGCUCACCAACCAAGGAGGUGGCGUGCACAGUCCGCAGGCUGCGCCAGGCCGGAUGCCUGUGGCCCUAGCCCCAGAGGCCCCUCCGUGUUUCUGACAGGGGGUGUCUAUGUAGCCAGUAAGGACAGGCUGUGGCUGGGCGUGAGCUGGGAAGGAUAGGCCUGAGCCCCCCUCAGGCAUCAUCUGUCCCCCGAACUGCCCAGCCAGCUAGGGAGUCUGCUCAGCCACUGGAGGGAGGCAGGGCCCCAUGGGAUUCCUCCCCCAAGACCCCCUCAGCCUCGGCCCUGAGGCUCCUAUCUGGAGUCUCGUGGGUCUCGGGAUAGGCUCAGUUCAGAGUACCCAUCUGGGGGCCACUCAAGGUGGGGGCCAAGGAAGGCUUCUUGGAGGACUUCCCAGGUGAGGUGGCUGGCCACGAGGGCCAUGAGGAAGGGGGAUGGGGCAACGACUCUGGGCAGCUGGCAGCUGGUGUGGGGAGGGGGCCGGGAGGUGGGGUGGGGACUGCAUCCUGUGCUUGGUGCCCAAGCCUGCCAGGUGCCGGUGGGUGCCUGGGAACAUUACAUGGGGAGAGAGAGGUCCUUCCUCCUGUAAGAACAGCAGCCACAGCUGCCUGGGGUCCUUGUGUCUCACUGUGGCCAUCCAGGCUGGGCUUCAAGGCCUGAAGGCAGCGGCAAUCCCUGGGCGGGUUCGAGGAGGUGCCCAGGGCACCCUGAUGACACAGGAACCCUGCCCCACUUGCACAUCCUCCCCUGCCCAUGGCCCCAGGGCGCCUCCUUUUCGGCUGGGGAGCCCCACGCAGCUUGCUGCACCCCCACCUUUACCUAGGCUGUGCCCCCGUCUGGAAGGCUUGCUGGUGGCUCAGAGCCCAGCCCUGAAGACCCCAAGUCCCUGAAACUUUCCUCACCCCCUCCCUGUGGUCCUUGCAAUGUGGCCCUCAGCUCUAGAACGCCCCAGUGGAGGGGGGCUCUCAGAGCGAGAGCGGAUGCUUGGGAUCCAUAGUCCUGGCGGCAUUUCCAUGUAUAGGGACAGAUAUGCUAAUGUAUGCAAAGUACCCUGAAAAUCAGUGUCCUGGAUUGGGGUGGUGGGGUCUGCAUGGAGCCUGGGCUCCAGGGCGCCCGUGUCGGGGUGGAUGUGAGUCUGCUCUGGGUGCAGGCACCGGUCGGAAUUCCUGGCCAUGGGCGGGAAGUGGGGCUCGAGUGCACUUUGUGGGGAGCUCCAGGCCACGGCCCCUGCUGCCAGGCAGCCUGCGUCUCCCUGGUCGCCAGUUGCCAUGGCAGCCACUUCCUGCCCAAGUUGCUAUGACGCCCAAUGGCCUCAGGGAGCCUGGAGCCUGGGAGCAGGGGUGGGGCUGGGGAGGGAGAGGUGGCUGUGGAUGCCCACACCCUUCCUGCCCUGAGCAAUGGCUGGGGCGCUCCUGCCCGGGACUCACUGUAGCCUCGACAUUCAAUGUCCUGAGCUGAUUUCAAAAGCUGGGAAGCGGGUCUGCAGCAGAUGGAAUUCGGGGUCCCUGGCAUCCAGGUGUGCACACCAGAUGUUGACUUGUGUGCUGGGGUCAGGGCCUUGGGAGUCUCAGUUCAGGCUCCCCAGCCCUGGGUCUGAAGACCCAAGGUGCCACCUCUCAGCAUCAGGUGAGCCAGCCCUUACUGAGGCCUUCAGGCCCCUGGGCAGCCCGGGGGCCUCACGAGCCCUGCUUCCUGGAGCCAGGCCAGCAGUCCGCGCCCUGUCCUGGCCCCACCAGUGACCCACACCAUCAGCCCACUACCCAGCAAAGGAGCCGCCCACCCACCAGCCCACCCACUGGAGUAUGCAGCCGGCCAGCCCUCUGGAGCCAACUGCUGCCCACUGGGAGCUGCGCCGUGGAGCCGCCCGGGAGCGCUCUUCUGAAUAAGGCCCGCAUCGACCGCGAAGGGCAGUGUCUUCCUCACGGACGCGCUGCGAGCCACUCGCCAUACGAGGGAGACGUUUAAUUUAUCUCAGGAACUGGGCACAAGUUAUAAAAAUGGUAAUUUCUUGGAGAUUCAAUUACAUAUUUUCAGCAUUACCCUCAGUAAUCAAGGAACGAUUUUUAAAGAAAGGCUGUGAGAUGAUACGAAUCCCGGGGAGGAUGGGGCCAGGCGGCGGUGUCGGGACGCGGGGGCAGUGUCUGCUGGGGCAGAGCCACAGGGCAGAGUGGGCUGAGCUGCCAGGCCUCAACCUUGCCCCCCAGGAAGGGCCUGUCUCCGGCCCUGCCGGCCUGGUCACGGAGGGCCAUGAAGUGACUCGGUGGCUGCCCAGGACGCCCACGUCCCUGCCCAGCUGGGCACCGUCUGUCUCCCGAAGCCUCUGCGGGGAACGGAGGGGGCUCCUUGUGGGGCUCAGACCUGGUUAUUUUUUUUUGUGAUGUCUUGGCUCUAAAUAACAUCCCCAGGAUUACGGCGCUGGCGGCCAAUGGCACCAGGUGAUUGGAAAAAGGGUUUAUGGCCCCGCGGGUGAAAUUGAACUUGCAUCAGAUGAGUAUUUCCAAGAUGGGAUUUUCCUCCCGGCAAAGGAGGCACGUUUCCUGCUAAUUACAGCGGUGGUUCCUCCUGCUCAUCACCUGCGGCCGUGUGCGCACUCAGGCACAGGGCCGGGCUCCUGUGGCCUGGGGAUCAGGGCUGGGGUCACCACCAGGCCCCCUAAUCCCAGCAGACCCUGGCGCUGGUUCUGGGGGAGGUGACCUCACUCACCAGGGGACCAGGAAGGGGAGAGGAGGCCGGCAGGGCCAGGUCACACAGAAGGGGGCUGGCAGGAGGCCCCCAGGCUGGGGUGGGAGGUCUGCCAGGCCAUCAGCAGACUCGGGGCGGGGGUCCUGGGCCCAGCUAGGCAGUUGGCCCCAGAUCCAGCUCUGCUACUCCUGAAAGUCCUUUUGUACCUGACUGCAGGCUGCCCAGGGCCGGCCAGGGUGAGCAGGAGCAGCCGCUGCCUCAAGAGGCCUGCGCGGUACCACCCUGCCUAAGAGGCUUUGAGGCUCAGGGUUCUGUCUUAGGGCCAGGCUGGGAGCCUGGGGGAGGUGCUUAUGGUGAACCCCUUGGGCUGAGUUGGCUUCUGGGGAGGGAAGGCGAGGCCCUGCUGUCUACACAGCAGACAGGUUGUUGUCACAGGCCAGCUUCUCCCUGCUUCCUGCUAAAGGGACACAGACCAUCAACAUGGACCACCCCUUUGGGGGGCAGCUGCCUUAUCACCCAUUUUCCAGGUGAGACACAGGCUCAGAGAGGUGAAGGGCUUGUCUGGGGUCAUACAGUGGAUAAGCAACAGAGUGGACAAGUCAAGGGCCUGGGGAUGUCCAGAGUCAUCCCUCUGCCAGAGUCUGGAUUGGGACGGUGUCCAGGAAUCCAGGGAUGAUGGGUCAAGGCCUGGCCAACAGUUGGGGACUGGCCAGGGAAGAGAGGGCAUUGUUAUCCCUGCAGCCACUGCCCUGAAGGACAGAAGGGGGACCUACUCCCUGGGGGGAGGCAGGGCCAUCCUUCCCUGCUCCCUCCCACCAGGCUUGCAAAGUGGCCCACCUGCCAGUCGUGACGCCGACAGGAAGGGUAUGGUGCCCAACAUCCUUAAAGGGGACUUUUCCCAGAGUAAUUACCUUCGAUUCAC